GUCCCUACGGGACGCAGCAGUGAGGAAUAUUGGUCAAUGGGAGAGAUCCUGAACCAGCCAAGCCGCGUGAGGGAAGACGGCCCUAUGGGUUGUAAACCUCUUUUGUCGGAGAACAAAACCCGGGACGAGUCCCGGACUGCGUGUAUCCGAAGAAAAAGCAUCGGCUAACUCCGUGCCAGCAGCCGCGGUAAUACGGAGGAUGCGAGCGUUAUCCGGAUUUAUUGGGUUUAAAGGUGGCGUAGGCGGUCUGU
rnacentral:rRNA from 1 species